AACGAACGCUGGCGGCAUGCCUAACACAUGCAAGUCGAACGAACCCUUCGGGUCUAGUGGCGCACGGGUGCGUAACGCGUGGGAACCUGCCCUUAGGUUCGGCAUAACUCCCCGACAGGGGUGCUAAUACCGGAUCAUGUCUUCGGCCCAAUGAUUUAUCGCCUUUGGUUGGGCGCGCGUGGGAUUAGCUAGUUGGUAGGGUAAAAGCCUACCAAGGCGACGAUCCCUAGCUGGUCUGAGAGGAUGAUCAGCCACACUGGGAGUGAGACACGGCCCAGACUCCUACGGGAGGCAGCAGUGGGGAAUAGUGGAAAAUGGGCGAAAGCCUGAUGCAGCAAUGCCGCGUGAGUGAUGAAGGCCUUAGGGUUGUAAAGCGCUUUUACCCGGGAUGAUAAUGACAGUACCGGGAGAAUAAGCGCCGGCUAACUCCGUG
rnacentral:rRNA from 1 species